rnacentral:rRNA from 1 species
UACGAGGGGGGCAAGCGUUGUUCGGAAUUAUUGGGCGUAAAGGGGUGCGUAGGCGGUUCUGUAAGUCUUGUGUGAAAUCUUCAGGCUCAACUUGAAGACUGCACGAGAAACUGCAGGGCUUGAGUGUGGGAGAGGUGAGUGGAAUUCCUGGUGUAGCGGUGAAAUGCGUAGAUAUUGGGAAGAACACCGGAGGCGAAGGCGGAUUGCUGGGCCGACACUGACGCUGAGGCGGCGAAAGCCAGGGGAGCAAAGCGGG